rnacentral:rRNA from 1 species
GUCGAGGGGCAGCGGGGCGGCAGGCUUGCCUGCCGCCGCCGGCGACCGGCGCACGGGUGAGUAACACGUAUGCAACCUGCCCGUGGCAGGGGGAUAAGCGGGGGAAACCCCGUCUAAUACCGCGUAACGCGGCCUAGGGACAUCCCAAGGCCGCCAAAGGGAGCAAUCCCGGCCACGGAUGGGCAUGCGGCGCAUUAGCUAGUCGGCGGGGUAACGGCCCACCGAGGCGACGAUGCGUAGGGGUUCUGAGAGGAAGGCCCCCCACACUGGUACUGAGACACGGACCAGACUCCUACGGGAGGCAGCAGUGAGGAAUAUUGGUCAAUGGGCGCGAGCCUGAACCAGCCAAGUCGCGUGAGGGAGGACGGCCCUACGGGUUGUAAACCUCUUUUGCCGGGGAGCAACGGGCGCCACGUGUGGCGCCACUGAGAGUACCCGGAGAAAAAGCAUCGGCUAACUCCGUGCCAGCAGCCGCGGUAAUACGGAGGAUGCGAGCGUUAUCCGGAUUUAUUGGGUUUAAAGGGUGCGUAGGCGGAUCGUUAAGUCAGUGGUCAAAUUGAGGGGCUCAACCCCUUCCCGCCAUUGAAACUGGCGCUCUUGAGUGGAAGAGAAGUAUGCGGAAUGCGUGGUGUAGCGGUGAAAUGCAUAGAUAUCACGCAGAACCCCGAUUGCGAAGGCAGCAUGCCGGCUUCCUACUGACGCUGAAGCACGAAAGCGUGGGGAUCGAACAGGAUUAGAUACCCUGGUAGUCCACGCGGUAAACGAUGAGCGCUAGGUGUCCGGGGGGAAUGGCCCCUGGGUGCCACAGCGAAAGCGU